UACGUAGGGGGCAAGCGUUGUCCGGAUUUAUUGGGCGUAAAGAGCUCGUAGGCGGUUUGUCGCGUCUGCUGUGAAAACCCGAGGCUCAACCUCGGGCCUGCAGUGGGUACGGGCAGACUAGAGUGCGGUAGGGGAGAUUGGAAUUCCUGGUGUAGCGGUGAAAUGCGUAGAGAUCCGGAGGAACACCAGUGGCGAAGGCGACACGCUGGGCCGUACCUGACACUGAUGCGCGACAGCAUGGGGAGCAAACAGG
rnacentral:rRNA from 1 species